rnacentral:rRNA from 1 species
UACGUAGGGACCAAGCGUUGUUCGGAUUUACUGAGCGUAAAGGGCGCGUAGGCGGCAAUUCAAGUCAUCUGUGAAAUCUCCGGGCUUAACUCGGAACGGUCAGAUGAUACUGCUUUGCUCGAGUGCGGAAGGGGCAAUCGGAAUUCUUGGUGUAGCGGUGAAAUGCGUAGAUAUCAGGAAGAACACCCGUGGCGAAGGCAGCCUCCUGGGCCAGCACUGACGCUCAUGCACGAAAGCGUGGGGAGCAAACAGG